GUCGAGAAUCUUUCACAAUGGGGGCAACCCUGAUGGAGCGACGCCGCGUGGAGGAUAAGGUCUUCGGAUUGUAAACUCCUGUCAUGCGUGAACAAGGUUGCUUGGUUAAUACCUGGGCAAAUUGAUGGUAACGCAAGAGGAAGAGACGGCUAACUCUGUGCCAGCAGCCGCGGUAAUACAGAGGUCUCAAGCGUUGUUCGGAAUCACUGGGCGUAAAGGGUGCGUAGGUGGCGUGGUAAGUCAGAUGUGAAAGCCCGGGGGUCAACCUCGGAACUGCAUCCGAUACUGCCAUGCUAGAGUACUGGAGAGGUGACUAGAAUUCUCGGUGUAGCAGUGAAAUGCGUAGAUAUCGAGAGGAAUACCAAAGGCGUAGGCAGGUCACUGGACAGUUACUGACACUGAGGCACGAAGGCCAGGGGAGCGAACGGGAUUAGAAACCCUGGUAGUCC
rnacentral:rRNA from 1 species